ACAGAGUAUAUUUUCAAACGUGCCCCUAUAUAAACGUGUUUCGAGCAUAUUUUCAAACAUAUGUUUCAUAAUGCGUCACGACUUUUUUAUGUCGUGUCAUCGUAUUUUCUCCACUACUAGAAUUAUCUCUCUGCAAUAUCUUACCGCGUGUAAUAAAAUAAAAUAUUACGAUGACCAACAUUGUGAUGGCCAACGCAUCGAAUAUUAUUAUCUAAAUCGUUUUCGCAAAAAAAUACGAGAGAAGAGGACAAUGAUUCGAUAAAUAAUUCUAAGUAACUUCGUCGGUUUGGAAAGAGGUAUUACAGUGCGCGUUAUUUAAUCCGCUGGCGUCCAUCGCGCAGAAAAUAGACCGUGUCGACGAGCGCGCUAUUAAUAGAUCGUUUUUUUGGACAAGUGUCGUAAAGAUAUCGCCGGACCGUUGCCAAAUUACAAGCAGCAUGAUUUGUCGCGAAACAAAAUUUCCAGGGCACGAAGGCCGACGAAGAAACUUGGCACGCGAAUUCUCACCGCGAGUAUGAAUGAUAAAAUAUUAAUAGAAACGUGCGCAGAGUCGAGCGGGGAACGGUAGCCGUAGUUGAUGUUUUCCAGAAUUGAAAAGCAACCUUGACCCACUGGGAGGAGGCCACGUGCAGUUGUGCUAUCGGGAAGUCGUACUUCGCGGAUAAUCUUGGCGCGCUAAUGGAAUGAUGGAGAGUUUAGAGUGGAAAGGAAGGAAGAGAGGCGUGAAUUCCAAGGUAUCCAAGAACGGUGACCCCGCUAUAAUAGGGGAAAGGGAAGUGUAUAGAAAUACCAGGAUCAUCAAUAAGGUCACCGUUUCGAUCGAGAAGCAUCGAGUCACGAUUUUCAGGAUCGUUGGACGAUCGAUCGUUUGGCAAGAUCACCUACCACCGCUGUUACCUAGAUUUUUCGCCCGUUCUUUCCAAGAAACGAUUCCCCCUGUUGGUAAACGGAUCACUAAGGCGACAGCCGUCGUUUUAUUUCCCAUCCCGGGAGACAGGCAGUGUCAAUCGAAACGGAGUCGAAUCGAGUAUACUCGCUCGAUGGAAGCGCACCGGCAGCAGCGUGGCUCGGGAGUAUGGACCUUGCGAGCGGUCAAAGUCGUGGCCUACUUCACUUCCUGCCUUCGAAACUUUCUCCUCGUGGCGUCGUUUCGUGCGUUCACGAGUGCCAAGGCCUAGCGAUGGGAUCAAGUUCAACGCUUGCUCCCAACGUAUAUAAAUAAUUUCUCGAUCGAAGGAUCACGCGAAUCCAUCCUUCCCAACUUCAUCCGCGGUUUCUGCGUCGAAAUUACAUACGGAAUGGAAACUCUUCGAAACUCUCUCGACGAAUUUCCAGAUAUUGAAAUAUCCUUUUCUGGACGAUAUCGUCACAUUUAGAUUUUCGAAAACAGUCAAAUUCGAAUUAUUCGCAACACGAAUAAAUCCCAUCGUCAUUGUUAAGCGUCUCCUUCGAUUCGAUCUAUAAUUUUUUUUCUUUCCUUCUAUUUCUUCCUUCUUCUUCUCGAUACUCGAUCAUCGAGUCGACACGCCUAAUUAUUUCAUAUUCACCAUUUAUUUUGUUUGAGGCAAUCUGGAUGAUUAUGGAAGACUUGAUAAAUCUGUCGGAUUUUAAGAAUCAUUUGGAUGUCCAGUUUUGUCAUUCGAUGAAAUAAUCGAUUCGAGUCUUAAAGAGAAAUAUUCAUUGGAAUGAAAUUUUGCUCUUAUUUUAAUAUAUUUUUUUUCGAUUACAAAAUUAUUCCGCCAUUUCAAUUCAAAGUUUUUAAU